rnacentral:lncRNA from 1 species
CGAACUUUAAGGAACAGUCAGGUGCAAGACCAUGAGUGGAGUAGGAGCGCAGAAGGACAAAAAUAAAGCAUUGUUGUUGACUCCUCCUUUUGUUUGGGCUGGGGAUUGAAUCCAGGGCCCCAUGCAUGCCAGCCUGGGGCUCUAGCACUAAACUAUAUCCUCUCCCGCCUUUAAAUAUGUUUUAUUUUAGGGCAGAAUCUCACUAAAUUGCCCCGGCUGGCCUCAAACAUGAGAUCCUCCUUGCUGCAGCUUCUCAGUUUACAAUUAACAUUCCUGGUUUAGUCUCCACCCCCUCUUGAAAUGGAAUUUUUAUCUCUUGAUUCCUGCUACAAGAUGCGAUGCCUGUUUAUCCAGUUGCAUGAAUAAUUGGUCAGCUCUUUCCAACUUGCCAGAAGCAACCCCUGGCCGUUUCUGGAGCACUGGGAGAGACCUUCGCACAGUUUCUGCUUGGAGUCCACCGCUCUUCAUCUCAGGUGGAGGUUUGUGAGUUACAGGUUAGGCAUUCAGGCUACAGCGUUGGGGGUGUAGGGGCCUGCCACUGUCCACGGUUUUCUGGACUCCAUCUGUGACAGGUGUGAACCUGGAUUCCAUCGGGAGCCUCCCUGGCAGGCAGUUUCAGAGUUCACAGCAUUAAUUAACUCUAAUCUGCUCCCUGAUAGUUUAAACCAGGCCCAAGACGCGGAAGCAUUUUCUUUCCUACAUAUUUAAUGGAUAUAAUGAGAUAACAAUGAGAACCUGUGUUUAGACUCUUUAAUGCAUUUGGCUCUCUGGCUGCGUUUGUAUGGUAAAAGGCAGUGGAUGUUAUUUAUGUGCUUAGCUGGGACUUAUCCUUUUGAAACAGGUCUAGACAGCUACCUGUUCUAUUUGGCUUAGCCUGUGCUGCAGAAAGUCCCAGUUCUUCCAAAUCAAGGCCUGGCAUCCCCAUGGAAGGGAAGCAAAACAAAUCUCUUCGAGGAGCAAAUGAAUCAAUUCAUCAUUUCUGGAAGGUGUGGAGUUCUAUAGCUGGCUUGAGGCAGAUGGAACAUAAACCAAUGAUGUCAGUAGAUCUAUCG